ACAUGGAGCAAAAUGGGCUCCACAUGCCUACUGCUCGAGGGUGAAAACUAGAAGCCAGGAGGUAUGUACUCAGGUUCCUGACUACAUUUUAAUGAGACAGAGAGGGGGAAAAUUAUACUCCUCAGUGUGGAAAUUCUGGGGAUCCGGAAUUCAGAGUAAGAGCAAUUAAUAAAUAAUGAGUAGAGUUGUAAAGAAAAUAAAUUUUUCAAGGACUCUGGAAAACAUACUUAGAGCUGCAGUCUGGAACCUGCAGACAGAGUAAUUGCAAGCAUCAUGUACCUGCUUACAUGAAUCAGAAGUUUAUUAAUUAGCUGUUUCUAAAAUACCUUUUACAGCUGAUGGGAUAUUAAUGAAGUGGCUUGUGUUCCCACCCCAGCAGUUCUCUGUACAACAACCCUCCAUAUGCAGGGGAGAGCAGUAAUGGGAGAAGGUGAGCCUGCCUGUGCAGAGCUGGGGGAUGCUCCUGUUCUGCAAGAACAAAAUCGUGAUUUCUUAUGUGGUGAGUUCUACCAAACUGUAUUCAAGUAGUAGGGUCUUUUUUAAGGCUUAUGUUGAGAAUGUGUUGCCCUGUUGCUACCUUGCUACAUACCCCUGCUUUUACAUUCUCUUUGUGCCAAGAGAAGGUGGUUCCCACUUGAGGACUGACUAAUAUUUCUUCGUAACAGCCUUUUGGGUGGUUUUGACAUCUGUUUUUUUCCAUAAAUCUCCUCCUCAGUUUAGGAAUACUGUUAUACCCUUUUCCACAGUCAGACACUUCAGGACAACCUCUAGUCACUGUGGAAGUGCAGAGUUACAAUCCAAAUGGAAAUGAAAACAAUUAAAUUUAUAUGACAAGCAGGUUGCCUUGACAGCUCCAAGCAAGAUGACAACGGAUGUCCUGUAAAUAUUUAAAGAUGGAGUCUGACCCUCUCCCCUUUUGGUGCUACACUGCAUAAAGGUAAAGACAGGCAGCGAUCUUCCAAUGUUUAAAUAUGUCAAUUCUGAAAAGGAGGAGCACAACCUGGCUGUUGGCUCCUUGGUCCCGGCAGGGCUGCUUACUGUGUUCCACUGGUCCCACUAAACCAAAACCUCGUGUGAACUGAGGUGAAAAUCUCUCUGCUCCAUGACAAUGCAAGAUCUAGUACAAUGGUGUCCAUGCCUUCAGUCGGAGCCUGUAAACAUCACUGUGGUACACAGCGAAAGUAAAGAUAUAAAUGGACCUUUUGUUUUAUCUUUCAAUAAACUACAAAUGCAGAAAAAUAAAGGUAAAAUAAAAACAUCCAUUCACUUCAAUGGGAUCAGAGGAGUUCAGAUGUUUGGGUAAGUUUUCUUUUACUAUUCCCUUCCUUAACUUUGAUAGGUAUCACUAACUGGAGUUGUAGAUUGUGAGGGUUCUAGUGGUAAGCAAAUAAGAAGCAAUAAAAAUGGCUGUUGCAAUACUUGUACAAUGAAGAGACAAUUUUCAGGACAACUAUAGUUAAGUAAUUAUGAACAGGACCAAUGUUUCCACUGAAUAAAUUCAUAUUAGAUUAUUCCCUAAUUCUAAUGAUUAUUUAAGGGACAAAAGUCAUAGAAUAAUAUACUCUAGAAGACAUAUCUAUCUCCAAAGUCCCUGAAACAAUGCUUAAAUCUUCAGUUAUUACUCACCUUUAACAUAGUUCUCAUCAAUGGCACUAUAAGCCUUAGAGCUGACACUUUGGAUAAGUACAUGAUACAGUUCAGCUCUAAAACCCUUAACAGAAAAUACAUCAGGACUUACUGUAAAAUUUCAUGGAGGAUUAGAGAAAAUAUUAAGUCAAUAGUUCUUUAGUUAUUAGGGGCUUUUAAAGUAAUCAAUACUUUCCAACCAUAUUAGUGCCAACAGUGAUGAAAGAUGACAUUAACAUCUAACUCUUCUUUUUUUGAUACAUUUAUGGAUAUCCUUUCUUUAGUCAGUCCUGCUGGAGUCAAUAGCGAUACAAAGAAUAUGGAUAGUUUUAAAUGUCAUCAGUAUUGAUUUGCUUAUUACAGCCAGUUUCAAGUAGAACUUGAUUUCAGGAAAAAAAUUACUUUUCCAUACAAAAGAAUUACCGAUCACCUUAAAACUUUGGAGUACCACCUGACUUUGCUUAUGGUGAUCUUCACAUUUAGCAGUGUGCUAAUGCAGCGAAAACUGGUUUAGGAUUAAUAAACCCUAAAAAUAGGAUUAAUAGGAUUAGUUCUAAGAGUUCUUUAGAGUUACAUGACAUUUUAUGCCCUUAAAGCAUUGCACAGACGUUAAUUACAUUUAAUUGAUAUCAUUCAGCCUGAACUUAUAUGCGUGCAGUUAUUAAUGAUUUAAUUAUUUUGUCAGUGGAAUAGAUUCUUUGCCUUUGACUCUGUUUCAUAAAAUUGAGAUGGUCAGCCCGUGUACAGUCUUUAGGCUCAAUCCUUUUUAUUCAGGCAACUAUGGAAUACGCUAAUAUGGAAUGUGGAAUAUGGUCAAAUGACAAAAUUUCCUGCACAUUUUUCUGGUUGUGCAGUUCCCCAAGCCACUUAUUUGAUUGCAAUCAAAUACUACAGUUUCAAUGAGCCCAACCACACAACAGAAAUAUUACAAAUGUAGCUGUAUCUCUUUGCCUGUGAUUGCC